rnacentral:tRNA from 1 species
GACACGGUGGCAUAGUGGUUAGCACUGUCGCCUCGCAGCAAGAAGGUCGUGGGUUCGAAUCUCGUCUCUGGCC